rnacentral:rRNA from 1 species
UACAGAGGCCCCAAGCGUUACUGAGAAUCACUGGGUUUAAAGGGUGCGUAGGUAGCGCGUUAAGUCCGUUGUGAAAUCCCUUGGCUCAACCAAGGAAUGGCUUCGGAUACUGGCGUGCUUGAGGCCGGUAAGGGUCACUGGAACUGACGGUGGAGCGGUGAAAUGCGUAGAUAUCGUCAGGAACGCCAAUGGUGAAGACAGGUGACUGGGCCGGUACUGACACUGAGGCACGAAAGCGUGGGGAGCGAACGGG